GUACACUCCUGCGGGAGGCAGCAAUGGGGAAUUUUGGACAAUGGGCGAAAGCCUGAUCCAGCAAUGCCGCGUGAGUGAAGAAGGCCUUCGGGUUGUAAAGCUCUUUUGUCAGGGAAGAAACGGUGAGAGCUAAUAUCUUUUGCUAAUGACGGUACCUGAAGAAUAAGCACCGGCUAACUACGUGCCAGCAGCCGCGGUAAUACGUAGGGUGCAAGCGUUAAUCGGAAUUACUGGGCGUAAAGCGUGCGCAGGCGGUUUUGUAAGUCUGAUGUGAAAUCCCCGGGCUCAACCUGGGAAUUGCAUUGGAGACUGCAAGGCUAGAAUCUGGCAGAGGGGGGUAGAAUUCCACGUGUAGCAGUGAAAUGCGUAGAUAUGUGGAGGAACACCGAUGGCGAAGGCAGCCCCCUGGGUCAAGAUUGACGCUCAUGCACGAAAGCGUGGGGAGCAAACAGGAUUAGAUACCCCAGUAGUCCCAUG
rnacentral:rRNA from 1 species